rnacentral:rRNA from 1 species
GUACGUAGGGGCUAGCGUUAUCCGGAAUUACUGGGCGUAAAGGGUGCGUAGGUGGUUUCUUAAGUCAGAGGUGAAAGGCUACGGCUCAACCGUAGUAAGCCUUUGAAACUGGGAAACUUGAGUGCAGGAGAGGAGAGUGGAAUUCCUAGUGUAGCGGUGAAAUGCGUAGAUAUUAGGAGGAACACCGAUGGCGAAGGCAGCCCCUGGGCCUGUACUGACGCUCAUGCACGAAAGCGUGGGGAGCAAACAGGAUUAGAUACCCGUGUAGUCCCUGAG